CUCUAGAAUAUGCUUGUUCUAAUCAAGAUGAUGUCAAACUGUAAUAGAUUUUACUUAGUUGCUUGCCAUUUUCCUCGUUUGUCUUUUAAAUACCAACUUGACCAACCUGAUCAAGUCAGUGGGCAGUGUUAAGGUUUCUAUGCAGAAGAUGGGGAACACCAAGAGGGCUGCAGAAUGAAAACCAAAGUCCUCCCUGAAAUUUGCUACUUGCUCGUAACUCACAGAAAGACAAAAAUUACAAAUAAAACAUUAAAAAUAAAAAUCAAGAGAGACUCGUGAAACCAACACAAGACAAAACCCUCACCGGGCAAAAGCUGCAACUUCAUGGAAAAUAAGUUGGAGGUGGGGGGGACGAGGGGGGUCCGGAGCUGAGCGGGGCUCUUGUGCAAUCACUCCAAGGCGAACAGCUGGAGCGCCAAGCUGCCGCGCUCGCCACCUCUGGAGCACCGCUGGCCUGGCGGGGAGCCCGGCCUCGCCAACACGACUCCGGGCCGGCCUUUCCGAACAAUGGGCAGGCGCUCUGCGAAGGCCGCCCCUCAGACAGCUAUCUUUUCAGCAGGGCUUGCCCGGGUCUGCUUAAACUGGGAAGUGAAGCAUGCAAAGGCUGAGAGGGAGGCGGAGGCAACCGAGAGGAGCAAGCAGGGACAGGCGAGGCGAGCCGGCCGUCAAAAACGGCAUAUGUCCUCCAGAAAACUGAGGUGA
rnacentral:lncRNA from 1 species